rnacentral:rRNA from 1 species
AUACGGAGGGUGCAAGCGUUGUUCGGAAUUACUGGGCGUAAAGAGCGUGUAGGCGGUUUGGAAAGUCAGGCGUGAAAGCCCUGGGCUCAACCCAGGAAGUGCGUUUGAAACUACCAUCCUAGAGUAUGGGAGAGGAGAGUGGAAUUCCCAGUGUAGAGGUGAAAUUCGUAGAUAUUGGGAGGAACACCCGUGGCGAAGGCGACUCUCUGGACCAAUACUGACGCUGAGACGCGAAAGCGUGGGGAGCAAACAGGAUUAGAUACCCUGGUAGGCCACGCCGUAAACGAUGGGUACUAGGUGUUGCGGGUAUUGACCCCUGCAGUGCCGAAGCUAACGCAUUAAGUACCCCGCCUGGGGAGUACGGCCGCAAGGCUAAA